AACGAACGUUGGCGGCGUGGAUUAGGCAUGCAAGUCGAACGAAUCUCAGCUUUGUAGCAAUACCGAGCUGGGGGAAGUGGCGAAAGGGGCAGUAAUACAUGGGCAACCUACCCCGGGGACGGGGAUAGCCUUCCUAACGGAUGGGUAAUACCUGGCGAUUUGGUUGAGGGGCAUCUCUCGACCAGGAAAUGAAUUUCGCCUCGGGAGGGGCUCAUGCGAUAUUAGCUAGUUGGUGGGGUAACGCCCACCAAGGCGAAGAUGUCUAGCGGGUGUGAGAGCACGACCCGCGCCACUGGCACUGAGACACU
rnacentral:rRNA from 1 species